rnacentral:rRNA from 1 species
GAGUGCGGUUGAGGUGUGCGGAAUUCGUGGUGUAGCGGUGAAAUGCUUAGAUAUCACGAAGAACUCCGAUUGCGAAGGCAGCACACUAAGCCGUAACUGACGUUCAUGCUCGAAAGUGUGGGUAUCAAACAGGAUUAGAUACCCUGGUAGUCCACACGGUAAACGAUGGAUACUCGCUGUUGGCGAUAUACUGUCAGCGGCUUAGCGAAAGCGUUAAGUAUCCCACCUGGGGAGUACGCCGGCAACGGUGAAACUCAAAGGAAUUGACGGGGGCCCGCACAAGCGGAGGAACAUGUGGUUUAAUUCGAUGAUACGCGAGGAACCUUACCCGGGCUUAAAUUGCAAAGGAAUGAUUUGGAAACAGGUCAGUCUUCGGACCUUUGUGAAGGUGCUGCAUGGUUGUCGUCAGCUCGUGCCGUGAGGUGUCGGCUUAAGUGCCAUAACGAGCGCAACCCUCGCCGCCAGUUACUAACAGUUAAAGCUGAGGACUCUGGCGGGACUGCCAUCGUAAGAUGUGAGGAAGGUGGGGAUGACGUCAAAUCAGCACGGCCCUUACGUCCGGGGCUACACACGUGUUACAAUGGGCGGUACAGAAGGCAGCUACCUGGCGACAGGAUGCCAAUCCCUAAAGCCGCUCUCAGUUCGGACUGGAGUCUGCAACCCGACUCCACGAAGCUGGAUUCGCUAGUAAUCGCGCAUCAGCCACGGCGCGGUGAAUACGUUCCCGGGCCUUGUACACACCGCCCGUCAAGCCAUG